CGUUGGACAAUGUGUUUUUAUUUAUUAGAUAAAAAAACAAGUAACCCCCAUCUAAAUGUUGCUUGCCUACUAUCUUAAAGAAGAAGAGGAAGUAAUCCCCGGUAUUUUUUAAUUUGUUUCUAACAGUUAUAGUUAUGCUGUUUUGAGUUUGCCGCUGGGAGACCGGAAGCAUAGAAGAAGAAAGAGACCAUGGCGAGGCGCUAGGGCGAGGCGAACGGGAUUUUUUUCAUGGAGGAAACAUACUUCUGGGAAACCUAGGUCACGUUACGUUUGUUUAUAGCGACUGCGGAGUAGUUUGUAAACGAGGCGCAUCACGAGGGAGCGAGUUAAACUGUGUUUUUAAAACUCAGCUGAGUAUGUUAAGCUAAACUAGCACAGAAGCUAACGCUACUACUUUUGAGCUAAUUGCUAAAAUAGUCAAGAGACUUGUGUUGCCAAUGUGGAUCAGCACUAACCUGCAUUCUGGUACGGAGGACGAUGAAGAGGGAUUCCGCACACAACUGCUCUUUUGAUCCUGAGCCAGAGGAUUAGCUUCAGACUGGUAUAUUUAUAAGAACAUCUGCGAAGAAGGAGACAGUUUUCCCUGCCAACUUCUGCUGCUUUGAGGCCACCGGGUCAAGAACCUGCUAGGCAGCCCACCUUGUUCGCUGCCAACUCCAUUUGAAAAUCAUUAUAAUGUGUGCCAUCAAUCACAAGACCGGACCAAGUGAUGUGUGUAGUGAUGGGAACUGCUCUGCCCCCUCCUGCUAUAUACAAACGUGUUGAUAGAAGAGGCUCCUUUAAUGUCAAACUGCUGCCAUUCAAGGUCCACCUCAGUUUCUGCCUUCUCGCGUGACUUCAGCUCCGUGCAAAGCGAGUGCAGGUGUUUACUGUAAGGAGGAGAAGAAAGGAUGAGAACGUCAGCGGCCUCCAAACAGCCUGGAUGGCAGAUGGAGAAGAGCAGGGAUACAGAAACUCAAAGCAGAAAGGCAAAACAAGUGAAUAGGAAAGAAUCUGAUCCAUGUGGGAAGGAAGACCACCCGUAAUGAGGGCAGAAGCACAAAGUGCAGCCGAGUGACAGCAACCGGCAGGGGCGAAAGAAGAAUGCGGUUCUGUUUGACGUGCCGAAAUCCAGUCUCAUCCCCCGCUGUCUGCCUGAGAGCAGCGAAGAUAUGGAUGGAGAGGGGAGAUAAGUGGAGCGUAAAUGUUUCCUUACCACAUCUUAUGUUCUUGGACAGUCGCACUUCAUCCCUCUCUAUCUCCUACCAUCUCUGCGCGCCGUCCUCCAGGCCUGGGAGGCGCUCCAAAUGAAGCUCUCAGACAUACUGAGCAAAUUAAGCAUCGUUAAAGAUGAAAUGUUGCUGCUGAAGAUGCUAUCGGGAUGAUAAACCAAAGCCAGUAACCACUUAGGAAACCGUGAGAAGCCUGUUCCUGGUUAGGCAAAGAUAACAAGCGACAAGAUAAAUCCAUAAACCUUUUUCUGUUUUAUAGGCUGACUUUGUGUUUAUUUUUCUAAACCCAUUUUUAGGGCUACCAUAUUUCUGUUAAAACGUCAUAGAAGUAAGCGGUACAGUUCUCAAUGUAGUACCUCAAUUUUAAAGAGGCAGUGUUAUGUAAAAUCAGCUUCCUGGAGCUUUAAUUUACGAAAUAAUGGCAUUUCUUCAUCAAAAACA